rnacentral:rRNA from 1 species
UACGUAGGGUGCAAGCGUUGUCCGGAAUUAUUGGGCGUAAAGAGCUCGUAGGCGGUUUGUUGCGUCGGCUGUGAAAUCCCGAGGCUCAACCUCGGGUCUGCAGUCGAUACGAGCAAACUAGAGUGUUGCAGGGGAGACUGGAAUUCCUGGUGUAGCGGUGGAAUGCGCAGAUAUCAGGAGGAACACCGAUGGCGAAGGCAGGUCUCUGGGCCACUACUGACGCUGAGAAGCGAAAAGCAUGGGGGAGCGAACAGG